CCCUUUCACGUUGGCUUAUUUAUUUUCAUAAUGCCACAAAGAAGUCCCAAAUCUUUACAAUUCCUUACUUGCUUCUCUUUUUUUUUUUUAAAAAAAAAAAAGAAAAGCCCUAGAAUAUCAGAUCAUGUUUUAAAAAACUAAUUGAAUUAUUUUAAGUUAUGACAAUGAUAGAAUGUGACAGUCAAUCAAAAUUCCAAACUAAAAAACCUCUAAAGAAAGAAUGAACCAUCACCGGGUCUCACCACAUCUCGCAGCUGUUCAGGCUGAAGCAACUGUCACCCAGUGCUAGUGCCGUCCCCAACACCACUCCCAUGCAGAAAGCAUGUGUCCUAUGCAUCUGACACACGGAGACUUAGAGCCAUGUUUUACCAACUUUCCAAUUAAUGCAAAAACCUGCCACAAUGGCAACUGUGCUGAAAACAGCAGUAAAGCCAGCCUGCUGACAAGUCCAGUCUCCCGAUUUACAGAGCACAGACGUUUUCUAACUAUACAGCUACACCAAUUUAUAAGCAACUAAUACAUUUUGAAUUGUUAGUAAUAUAAUAACGUUAUAAAUAGUUUACUUUCUCCUUUUCCUUAUAAUUUUUAUAUUCAUGCAUCUCAUUUAUUUAUUGAGUAGACUAUUAAAUUCUGGAUUUAAAUAUGACUAAGCAUAAAAUAAAACAGAGAUAUGGAUAACACAGCUGAGUUUUACUAGAUGUUUCAGAGAGUUAAAGCUAUGAACUAGGAGACAGACUUGAUCUAAGGUAAGCAAGGAGAAAGUUGGAUCUGACUUUAAGUUCCUCACAGUUUUACCUGUCAUGUACAUAUGAACAUCCAUGGCCCAGAUUCUGAAUGUCUAUGUGCCAUAGAGCUAACUGUGUCAUAAAUGGAACGUCCAUUACUUGAAGAAAGGCCCCUCUGAUGCUAAACUUUUACAAGGUAUGGAGUCUGGAGUAGGCAACCAUAUUAACAAGGUUUUAAGACCUAGUCAAAAAUAUAUAUAUUUACACAUAAAUAAUAACCUCUAAGGAACUUGAGUUUAAAUGACAAUGUCUAUCACCAGAAGCACCUGGGCUAGCAGUGCUAUAAUCCUAAUCAGAGGGUAACAUUGCAUCACUUUUCUUCAGUUCAGCACUAGACUAUCUUCCUGUCAUCUGAAGAUCACAGUAGACUCCACUUUAAGCUGUCACACGAAGAGGCACUGCCUGAAUGCCUCAAGGUAUGUCCAGUAGUCAAGCUGCUCUUAGCAUCUAAGAGUUAGGUGGCACCAACAUCCUCCCAUUAGCUCUAUAACUUCACUCACAAAUCCAGGGUUACAUUUGGCUCUUCCACUUAACCCCUGUCUGUUACCAUGGCUGCUAUGUAGCUGCUAUUCAACAUUAUGUUUCUAUUUCUGCUAAAUCAUUCCUAUUAUCUUUAUCAACCCUAAGUUUCUUUUUAGAACUCUGGAACAAUAUGAAAACAUUAAAAAUAUUUUUAAUUUUGUCUUUCAAAUACAAUAAAAUUCUGAUAUAUGAUGUUAAGAUAAUUCAAUUACUAGACAAGUGAUCUCUGUUUACAUAAUACAUACUUUGUAAAGAGGUUUCACUGACUUUUUCUUUAGUGAGGUGAGUUUAAACUAUUCUAAAAGCAGUAAAUUAGCUCAUUACUUUGUGAGUUAGGAAGAGCACA